rnacentral:rRNA from 1 species
CAAAAGCGUAUAUUAAAGUUGUUGCAGUUAAAAAGCUCGUAGUUGAACCUUGGGCUUGGCUGGCCGGUCCAUCUUUUUUGAUGCGUACUGGACCCAGCCGAGCCUUUCCUUCUGGCUAGCCUUUUGGCGAACCAGGACUUUUAAUUUGAAAAAAUUAGAGUGUUCAAAGCAGGCCUUUGCUCGAAUAUAUUAGCAUGGAAUAAUAGAAUAGGACGUUAUGGUUCUAUUUUGUUGGUUUCUAGGACCAUCGUAAUGAUUAAUAGGGACGGUCGGGGGUAUCAGUAUUCAGUUGUCAGAGGUGAAAUUCUUGGAUUUACUGAAGACUAACUACUGCGAAAGCAUUUACCAAGGACGUUUUCAUUAA